rnacentral:rRNA from 1 species
UACGGGGGGGGGCAAGCGUUGUUCGGAAUUACUGGGCGUAAAGGGCGCGUAGGCGGUCAGACCAAGUCGAGUGUGAAAUUCCAGGGCUUAACUCUCGGCACGCUCGCUCGAUACUGGUCGGCUAGAGUGUGGAAGAGGAUGCUGGAAUUCCCGGUGUAGCGGUGAAUGCGUAGAUAUGCGGAGGAACACCGAUGGCGAAGGCAAUCCCCUGGACCUGUACUGACGCU